AUUGAACGCUGGCGGAGUGCUUUACACAUGCAAGUCGAACGGCAGCACGGACUUCGGUCUGGUGGCGAGUGGCGAACGGGUUAGUAAUGUAUCGGAACGUGCCCAGUCGUGGGGGAUAACGUAGUGAAAAUUACGCUAAUACCGCAUACGAUCUAUGGAUGAAAGCGGGGGAGCGCAAGACCUGGCGCGAUUGGAGCGGCCGAUAUCAGAUUAGUUAGUUGGUGGGGUAAAGGCACACCAAGCCAACGAUCUGUAGCUGGUCUGAGAGGACGACCAGCGACACUGGAACGGAGACACGGUCCAGACGCCUACGGGAGGCAGACGUGGGGAAUUUUGGACAAUGGGCGAAAGCCUGAUCCAGCCAUGCCGCGUGCAGGAUGAAGACCCUCGGGUUGUAAACUGCUUUUGUACAGAACGAAAAGGUUUCUACUAAUACUAGGAGCUCAUGACGGUACUGUAAGAAUAAGCACCGGCUAACUACGUGCCAGCCGCCGCAGUAA
rnacentral:rRNA from 1 species